rnacentral:rRNA from 1 species
UCGGGAAUUUUGGGCAAUGGGCGAAAGCCUGACCCAGCAACGCCGCGUGAAGGAUGAAGUCUCUCGGGAUGUAAACUUCGUAAGAAUAGGAAGAAUAAAUGACGGUACUAUUUGUAAGGUCCGGCUAACUACGUGCCAGCAGCCGCGGUAAUACGUAGGGACCAAGCGUUGUUCGGAUUUACUGGGCGUAAAGGGCGCGUAGGCGGCAAUUCAAGUCAUCUGUGAAAUCUCCGGGCUUAACUCGGAACGGUCAGAUGAUACUGCUUUGCUAGAGUGCAGAAGGGGCAAUCGGAAUUCUUGGUGUAGCGGUGAAAUGCGUAGAUAUCAAGAGGAACACCUGAGGUGAAGACGGGUUGCUGGGCUGACACUGACGCUGAGGCGCGAAAGCCAGGGGAGCAAACGGGAUUAGAUACCCACGUAGUCCCUGAGCGGGCUGGCAAGGCGCAU